UUGAGUGUAUUUUUAAUCUGGAACGGUUCUGUCUUUAUCUUCAUGAGCUUCCCGUUUCUGAAGCAUACAGGCACAACUGUCUUAUAAGGUGUCCCUCAAUUUGUGUUUAUCUUAUGAUUCCAGUUUUGCUUUUUUUUUUUUUUUUUUGGCAGGAAGAUCAGAGAAGCAACACUGUAUCCUCCCCAGUGCAUCAUAUGAGGGGACACAUGAUGUAGUUUAAGUGUCUAGGAAACCUCCCCCUCCAACCCCGAGAAGAACAUGCCCAGCUAACCUACUAUUCCAAGAAGGAUAAGAGACACAUGAGGCAGAACCAUCCCAGCCGAUCUGAUGGGUGUGGUGGAGAGUAUGGAAUCAUCACAGAGGGAAGGACAGACCACUGGAGAAAGGGUCGGCAGACCUCCCCCCUCCUCCCUGACAUCGUGGUCCAGGCAAACCCCCAACAUUCCCUGGUUCCCUGGCUCUGUGACAUCACAGCCUCCUCUCUUCUCUGCCAGUUACAGGUGAGUGAGCCUCAAAGGUCAGACCUCAGAGCAGGACGGCGUAUUUUUUCUGUACUUAAAGGGACAAUGUCUCCAUCACUCCUGGACACCUUUGCUAUAAGAAGCAGACAUUACCCCUAAUUUGCCUCGACUCCACUGUUUCUGUCUCUGGGCCCCAGUCUCCCCACCUGUGCCGACUGACCCCUAAGGGCUCCUCCAGCUCCAGAAGCCUUCCUGUUUGACCUCGCUGGGUCUUUCUUGUUCUGGUCCAAGUGCUGUGGGUCACUGGAGACCUGAGGCUCACAGCCCACUGGGCAUAACCCAAGAGGCUUUUUCUUUGGCUCCUGCCUCCAUCUAGAGCCAUCUGUCAGCUUGACGGUGUCUCAUCAGCAGUGAGACACCAACAGUGUCUCACCAGCCUUCAUGUCCCUGGAAUAGUGGCUCAUCUCACCCCUGGGGUGGUGACAGCAUCUGCUCAUACGAGGACCAAAGUUCAACCAAAGUACAGGGCACCAGGACUCCAAGCAGAGGUGUGACGUGAUGUGACUUACAUCCUAAGAGGAUUCUGCUGUGCUGACACUAAUGAAGACAAGGGUGGAAGAAGCAGGGAGACCAGUUAGGAGGCCAUCGCAGUGAUCCAGAUCUGAACACGGAUCCUCGCACAAAUGGUUUGAAAAAGAGACACCCACACCACUUCUCCAAUAUUUGGGCGCUAAAAACUUGCACUAUUGGGAGACCCUGAGCAUUCUAGUC